rnacentral:lncRNA from 1 species
AGGAGCGGCGGAGAGGGGCGGGGCCAGCCAGGGGUCAGUUUUACCGGUUCUUAGAACUACCGGUGACGUUAACAACCAGUUCUAUAGAACCGGUGCGAACUGGUAGAAUUCCACCCCUGGGGAAGGGUCAGGGGUCCGUGAUGAGCCUGGAGCCUCCUCCUCUUGCCCUCAAUCCAUGGUUUAGUGCUAAGAGGAAUUGGGGGAAGGCAGAGGAUGAGGGGCACCUGCCCUCCUCUAUCUUGGUGGGUCCCUUUGACAUCUGCCUCCCAUGUGAGAAGAGGGGAUUGUUGUGGGAUUGUUAUUAUCCUCCCCAUUUGGCCUCCCUGUGGCUUUGUGGUCUUCCACAAUGUGAUGUGUCUCUGCAUCUCCUGCUCAGGGCAUUUGCUGGACUCGGAGAUGAGAGUGACCUGCACUCCCGAUGGGCCUGGAAAGGGAGCCUGGCAGCUGAAUUGCUCUACGGGGGACUGGAAAGACAGGGUGGAAUUGACUGGGAAUCCCCCAUCUACCACCCUUUUAUUGCCCCUCAUCCUCCUGUGAUCAAGGUCAACUCCCAGGAUCUGAAUGUCAAAGUCACCUGCACAGUAGAGAAUCAGAUUAGCAAGGCCUCCAGGACGGUCUUCUUAAAGGAUGUUUGUUCUGGAGUAACGUCACUUCUGCAGGAGGGCCGAAUGUUAGCCUUCAAGAUUUUCUUCCUUUGCUUGGCAUCUUUCGGCUGUCAUAAGUAACAGGGGGAGGGGGGACAUGGUUAUGGGAAGUGAGCUGGAGGUUUUACAAAACAGAAUUGUAUAAGUUGGGGGGGGGAAUUUCUUGCUUUGGUUUCUGUCUUAUGCUACGCGCAGCCGCAGCUCUUUAUCAAAAUAUGUCAAGGUCAAUGGACAGAGGCCUCAUCACCACCUGGAGAUGCCCACAUGAUGUUAUACACAACCUUUUAUUGGGUGGACAAUUUGAACUAUUGUGGCUGGGAACGUUGCCAUCACUUUGUAUAUGUGAUUUGCGCGCUCAUUCUCUCAGAUUCAGAAUUCUUUUGUUGCUACCACUUGACUUCCAGUAAAAGAUAUCUUUUCUCUAAUUAAUGGAGUCUAAGUAUUUCUUUCUUGGGUUUUGAAUGGAGCACCACCUGACAGCUACCACUUCAUAUUCA